CAAUCAGUCACCAAGGGUACAUUAUCAAAGGUACAAAGACGUAUAAAAGGCAGGAUUGUAAUAGUCAUUUUGUAUAGCCAGGGAUAAAGCCGAUAUUAUAUUAAUAUAUAAUAUAUAAUAGAUGGCUAAUGCCAUCAUGUGGAACGAUUAUAAACAAGCGAUUUUCAUCACAAUAACUAUUAUCGAAAAAUGGCAGUUGUUCCUUGGCACUGAUGUUCGUUUUGUAUAUUGAAAAAUACAACUGAUAACCACUUAGUAGCAGGGGUGCGAUAAUCACUAGCAUGCACAAAAUGAUUAAUUAUCGACCGGUGCUAAUAAAUAAUCAACGUUGUAAAUCAAAAUUGCUAGUCGUGGAAGGACGUGAUAUAUGUGGGAAUAAAAAAGGGGUGGAAAUUAAUGGUGAAAUGAAAUCGUUAACUUAGAUAGACAAUAUUUUACAGUUAUUUUGACUAAUAACUACACUACUGAAUCAACUUUGAUGAAAAUGAAUGUUUUGAGAUAGGUACAUACCUCUUCGCUCAGUAACCACUUGAAACUAGCGUUGUAGUGCUACGCACUGCGGCAUUAUGCUGAGUGGAAGCCCUUUUUGGCAUUAUUACCAAAUUAAUUUAUACGCUGUCCAAAUUUGUAAUUUGCUGGUUUAAUGUGCCAAAUAAAUAUACCUAUAUUAUUUCAUCUUACGAAUAAAGAAGUCAAUUAAAUUAAGUCAAAUCUAAUCAAAUAUUUUAUUUAGCAGAACCAAUGUCAGGAUAAUACGGGUGUCCAGUAUCUGAGUCAGUUUCAAUAAUAAUGUUCUACCGCGGAUGGUACCGUUAGACAUAUUAUAAUAUACAGACAAACUAUACAGACAUUCGUACACUUAGCCUAAUAAAACAAAAAUAUAUACCUAUCCUAUGUGAAUAUUAUGUUGCUAUGCCAAUAAUACAAUAUUACAUUAUAACGAAAAAAAGAUUGCUGUUCAUUUAAUUUUUCCCUGCUAAAAUUUGAGAACGGCUGCACCGAUUUGGAUGCUUUUGGUUUUGAUAUGUUUGACAUAGUUUAGUGACGCCUUAAAUGGGAAAACAAUAUGGAUCUAGAACCAGUGAUGAUUCGAUGAAAAUCGAAGCGCACUCGGUGCCGGUGGUGGUUUGGGAAACCAAUCACUACCAAAAUGGUUAUAAAACCUGUAAUGUUUGAUGAAAAUUGAAAGGCACGCGGUGCCGGUGGUCGUUUGGAAAAUCAAACGCUACCAAAAUGAUAUUACAUAAUAUAUACAUACAAUAUAAUAUACAGCGUGACAGAUCAUUUUAGUUUCGAAAGGAAUGGACAUUUAUAACUUCAAGUCUCAUACAUCAUAAUUAUGUCUAAAAAAAAUGCAUAUAACAACGAUAGGAAUUCAUUAACUCGGUAGCAUACAAAUAAUGAACGUUGAAAAUAAUUGUGUAAUUAUUCAACAGCGUUGUUAUUCACUCGUAAGUGUCAUUUAUUGAGAAAUUCAACAACAUAUUGAAGCCUUGUCAGCAAGCCUGUCAGUGAGACAGUAGCUUCACAGUUCAUAUUUCAUGGCAAAAUAAAGACAAGUCUAUGAAAAAGUGUGAGUGAUGUGCCUGCCUACACAUUUCAGAUUAACUACAUAAGAUUAACCUGUGGGAGUAGUGAACGCACUAUAUUUUGUGCCACAAACUGUAUAAAGGUAAAUGAUGAAUAUAUAAAAUACUAGUAAAGCCUUUAAAAGCGGCCCACAGAGGUGACUGAGUUUCUUGCGCUGCUUCUUCUCAGCACUGGCCCACUUACUGUUCCGAAGCAGUGGUAGAUGAAACUUUAUUUUUAUUGUAUUUUAAUUAGAUCAGCUGAGCUAGGAUGCGCACCCUGAUGGAAUCUUUCCAUGAUUUUAGACAACAGACGUAUGGGCUUAUCAUUCAAAGUUUAUAAAAAGUUUAUCAUGGCGCGCAUCCUAGGCCUACACUAAGGAAAUUAAAAUUGUAAGAAAAAUAAUUGACAUAUUAAUUUGAGAUACCUACCUAUCUUGUGGGAAAUUCGUAAUGUAAUAAGUGGACACACCUACUAUUUAUUAACUUAUUUGAGGUCAAAUAAUAAUGUGUUGUGAUGCUUGAGUCUAAUAUUUUAUUUGAUAAAUUGGCUAUUUUGUCCAAAAAUGGUUGAAUAUUAAUUUGACCUUUUGAUUUGUUUCAAUCUAAUUGAAAGGAAGAUGUGUAACGUGUCAGGAAAUUGAAUAAGCAAAAUAUUUAUGUGUAAUUUGUAAGCUCAUAGAAAGUACUUACUAAUUAAGUAUUACAGAUCAUUAAUGGGCUAUUGUCCAAAGAUGGUUGAAUAUUUUGACCUUUUGACUUGUUUCAAUUUAAUUGAAAGGAAGAUGAGUAACGUGUCAGGAAAUUGAAUAAGCAAAAUAUUUGUGUAUAAUUUGCAAGCUUAUAGAAAGUACCUACUUACUAGUUAUUACAAACCAAUGUACCUUAAUUUAGUAGUAGUAUUAAUUAUAAUAUAGCUUGUCUCGAAUCAAAUAAAAUAAGGAAGAGAUGUGGUGUACUACUAUACAAAUAAAGAGUGUGCGCUAUGGCAACACUGACUAGUACGGCGCGGUGGGGAGUCAGUCGUAGUCGGGCCGCCACACGGGACGGACGUCAGUGCUUGCACUAGCUUACACAGUGAACAUAUAUCAGUGUUUUAUUUAA